ACUCAAUGUCGGCGAUGUAGGCUUUGCUGGUUGUUUUUCUGUUUCAACUGGGGAUGGAAGUUUUCCGAUAUCCAAUUCGGCUUUUUUGUCGACACUAAGCGAAACUUUCGUCUCAUCUAGGUCUUUCUCGGGUGAUUUUUCCUUUACUUCCUUCAAAGAACUGACUUUAUCGUC